CCGCCCGCCGCCAUGGCGGCCUUCCCCCGCCACCGCCGCUUUCUGGGCGGCUUCGUCUGCGGGGCCGCGGCGGGCACUGCCGUGUCGUGCUGGGCUGCGUGGCGGCUCCUCCGCAGCCAAAGCCAGCCGGAGACGGUCCCCGGGAGAGCCUUGCCAGAGGAACCAGUAGAAGAGUCUCUGCUGGAAAAAUAUGGAUUCCCUGAAGCUGGAACAGAGACCAGAUGUUACACAAAUCACGCACUGUCUUAUGACCAGGCAAAACGGGUGCCUAGAUGGGUGAUUGAACAUAUUUCAAAACAGAAGACACUGGGCAAUGCAGACCGAAGGCACUGUAAAUUCAGACCAGAUCCUAACAUCCCUCUAAUGUUUAGUGCUGUCAAUGAAGACUACCUUGGGAGCGGAUGGUCACGAGGACACAUGGCACCAGCAGGAGAUAACAAAUUUUCAACAAGAGCUAUGGCUGAAACAUUCUACCUUUCUAACAUCGUGCCUCAGAAUUAUGAAAAUAAUGCUGGAUUUUGGAACAGAAUGGAAAUGUAUUGUCGGGAAUUGACUGAGAGAUUUGAGGAUGUUUGGGUAGUUUCUGGACCUCUGACCUUGCCUCAAACAAAUGAUGAUGGAAAGAAGAGUGUUACUUACCAGGUAAUUGGAAAGGAUGAUGUAGCUGUGCCAUCCCACCUCUACAAGGUGAUCCUUGCCAGACGGAGCAGAAAGUCUACAGAACCCUUGGUACUGGGGGCUUUUGUGGUGCCAAACAAUCCCAUAGGCUUCAGUCACCAGCUGACUGAGUUCCAAAACGUGGGAGAUGUUGGUGUGUGUUGCCUGGAGUAACGAAGUGCCAGAUACUUCAUGUGCCUCUUGAUGGUAUUGUGUGUGCUUCACUAGAGUCCAAGCAACCUUUUGGCACUGCGGUGGUGUCAUCCUUUGGAAAAGCCUUCCACCUUCCUUUUCUACUUGAUCCUUUCAGCUGAGAGGUUACAGAUCUCCUGCAGUGCUCACACACCUACGGACAGCCGAAACAGAUCUCGGUGCUACAGACACGUACCUGUCUAGCAAAAAUCCUGUGUUGAGACAGCACCAGUUGUACACGAGGAACUCCAGGUGUCUUCCCUUUCUGCUGACAGCUUGCCAUUACAACAGCAGAAGUGCCGAGUGUGACUCUCCCGCGGAGACCUGCUAUGGAGACCAGCUGCUCCCUAACUCAGUACCUCCUCGGGCUUACGUGCCCCCUUGAAUUCCUGCAAGCCCCAAUUACCAUAAUUUUCAUGCCUCACGGCUUACCGCAUAGACUGGACUCCCUACAUAAUUUUCAGCUCUGUUUGAGCAUGGUUGGUGUUCCUCAGCUCCCGUUGGAGGGUGGCAGCAGGUGGUGAACGGUGAAACCACUUCCAGCACUGGUCUGUGCCGAAGAGUACGUUGACCUGCUCGUCUUCUGCUGGUUUCCUCAUCUGAAAUAACUGUGGAGUCUGGCAUAUAGCAAAAAAAUGUGCUUUCUUUACAAUAGGAAAUAUAAGACAAGGAACAGCAAGGGGGUGAGGCUUUACACACUUGUUUGAGCCACCUGUGUAAGUAGUUGCUUCAGGAUCCUUCAUGAGAACUGUGCUUGUGUCCAUGUCCAUCUGUCAUUCCUGUUGCACACUUAAUCACUUCCCUGCGUGCAUCUGUAGUGACAAUACAAACCUCUGUGAUGCAGCUAAGCAGCAGGAGUCCUGGAAAUGGACAGGUCUGUCCUUCGCUCCUCCACUGUUUUAUUAUGUUUGUUUUUAAAGCUAAAUAACUGAAUAGCGAGGGAAGUUGAUGACUAGGCUGCCUGCAGCCUAAUACAAUGAUUUUCUGCUAUUCCCUUGACUCUUGAUUGUUACUGCUAGUCUUGAAUCAGGGUGAAAGGGAUGGUAAAUAGGAGGCAGACGGGAAGGGAAUGGAGGGGAGAGCUGCCGCUGUGCUCAAGGGCUCUGGGCUGCAGCCCACCGGCUCGGCUUGGUGUGCUUUUGGUAUUUGGCCUUUUGAGGGCAGACUGUUUCCGCAGCGUCAGCCUCGGUGGCCAAAAAUGAUGGGGGAUACGAAUCGAAUGUCUCUGGCCCGUGAUAACUGUCUUUCUGCUCGUGAUACCAAGAUACCCAUGUAAAAUGAAUUGUUUUGAGUGUUAUGUUGACAGCAGUGUGGUGUGAAGCUAAUGAUUUUUCCUGGAUAAAGGUUUUGACAAUAAUGUUUCAAAGUGCCUUUAGAUUGACCACCCAAGUUGUGUAUCUGCUCCGAAGACAAUUUUGACUCCAGCUUCAUGAAUCUCAUUCUAGGUGAGGAUUUAGCCCUGCACUGAUGUCUUGCAAUGCCAUUGUUUUGCAUCUGUAAACAUAGUUGGGGGGCUGAGGGGUGGAAUUUAAAGUUCUGCUUUUUAUUUUUAUGUGGUUGGUUCACUUUGGAGCACCAUUUUGCGAUUUUCAGUUUGUCUUGUAGUAGUAAAGAUGGAUCUCAUUAGCUAGUUGUGCUAUGUGCUGCACUAACCUGUGGAGAAACAGCCCCUGUCCUGAAAAAGUAACACACAUUAGAUAACCGCAGGCAACAACUGGAAGGGGAGAAGCUACACACCCAGAAAUCUGAGGAUUUCUUUCAUCAAAGGGCUUCAGAAGUGCUGCAACACCCACCUUUGAGUGUCCUUUCCGCCACUGGAAUCAUCUCCCUGAGGGAGACACUCAGGUGUCCUGUAAAAUAAAUGGAGGCAAGUAGGUAAGAAAACCCAGGAUUUGCAAAAGCUGCUUACCUGGCCAGUAGUGAUUGCUGGAGAUGAGCACUGGGUUUCUCUGAGGGUUUUCAGUCCUGAGCCUUUUUUUGGAAUCGGCUAGACAAGCUAGGCCUGUGUCAUGGAAAACCAUUAAAUAGAGGUACUUCUGCCAGUACACCACCUGUUUGAGUGAGAUGUCCAAGCAGACACGCUUUUCACAGCCUACUCUGAUUCAGCUCAUGGACUUGAAACCACUGAUCUUCCUAGUGGAAACUUCCAGUUUGUACAAACGCUACCAAACUGGCCAGCUAGGGCUGUGCUGUCCCCAGUCUGCUCACCAGAGGAGCAGCCACAUCAGCCCCAGAGGAUUUGAAGAAGGUGUCCUGCCUGCCACGCACCCUUGUCAUCUGUGCUGGUGGGUGGAAUGGGUUGCUGAAAUAGGGCAGCCUUGCUUUGGCUGCCUUUGGUGGGAGGUCUCCAUGGUGAAGGAGCUCCAAAGAUGCGUCCCAGGUGGAGCCAGUCAGGUGGAUAAACCAGAGCUGCCUAAAGAUGGGACGGCAGAGGAACAGGGAGAGAUUUAUUUGGUGGCAGCUUGCAGAGAAGUGGGGACCUCUGGUACUGUAAUCCCUGGGUCUCUUGAUGUGUUUAACCCAUGCCAGCCUGUGUGAAGAAAACCCCAAAACCUCCUGUGCCCAUCCUGGUCCUGUGUGUUUGUUGGGCAGCACUGAAGCUGUGGAGGCAUUAUAUAUAAACCCCAAAGUGCUCUUGCUAGUAACCUGGCUCAGUGGGGAAGUGAGGAGCAAUUUUGCUGUUAUUUUUGAAUUGUCUUCUGCAGUCACAAGGGAAAAGCUUUUCUCACCAUGCAGCAAAGGAAAUGUAGGAAAUGUUCCUUUUUUUUUCUUUUUUUUUGAUUCAGGUCCAUCUAAUCAGCUCCACCUACACAGUGGUGGUAUAGCCAGUUCUCACAUGCUUCCUAAUAGCCAUCUGCCUGUGCAAUUAAUGGCUUGUCUGCUUUUACCAUAGCUUGGAGGAAAAGACUGAACAAGAGCUUUGAGUAUUUGCUUAAAAUAUCUGCAGUGUCUGUGUGGAUGCUCCAGGAUGGAUGCUCAGCGCAGGCUACAAACAACCCCCACUUUCCUGUAUUGUAAAAUAUUAGAGCAACUGGCCUUUUCCACCCUGCCUUUCAAACAGAGCACAUUUCCCACCUGCCGUGUGAAAAAUUAACAGCUGUGGCAACAUAAUAUUCCCAAAAUGCUCGCUUCCAGGAGCUGAACGCGAGGCUUUUCACGUUGGUUUGAGAGGUACGAUGGCUGGCAUCCCAGCUUCCCCGCUGGUGCGUUCAGCGGGUGGGGAGAGAUGCGGAAAACAGGUCUGGAAUGAAGUGCUUCCAGCUCUGCUUAAGAAACAGUGUGGAGGUAUUUAGCAGAUCACAGAGGUAAAUUUGGUUUGUGUCAAGAAUAAAUAUUUCACAAGACAGCAAAUAAAGUCCUGUGCAAGUUUUCCCUAGCAGCUCUCAGCAGCCGAUGAGGCAGGGCUCGGCAUCGAGCAGGCUGGAGCCAGGGAGGGAAUGGGAGCACCCGCCAAGCUGCUGGUGCCCAACAGCUGUAAGUCCUGUCCCAUCUUUGCAUGGAUCCAUCCAUCUGGAGGAAGACCAGCCCGUCUCCCUGCCAGCCUCCUUUUACUCCCAUGCAUUAAGGAAAAUACGUGUUCCUCAUGCCAUGGCUGGUUUGUGACCCAGCCAAUGCUCUUUGGUCUGCAGUGCCUCCAAAAGCGGGGUGGCCGUGGCCAAGCACCUGGCGAGCCACAGUGGGACACAAAGCGUGGUGAAAUGAAACCAUAGCUGGAUUAGACAGCCUGGCUGUACAAGUGGGCUUGAGCUUGGAUUUAAUUACCAGAGUGUCAUAAUAUGCAAAGCAUCCUGUAAUGUCAAACACGUGUAACGGGGAAAAGCUGCGCAGGGAGAAGCUGUGCAGGAGCAGUGAAAGGUUGCAGCAGAAUUUCCCCAUCCUCCCUUGUCCCAGCUCCAGUCUUCAG